UACGUAGGUGGCAAGCGUUGUCCGGAUUUAUUGGGUUUAAAGGGUGCGUAGGCGGCCCCGUAAGUCAGUGCUGAAAUAUCCCGGCUUAACCGGGAGGGUGGCAUUGAUACUGCAGGGCUUGAGUAAAGUUGAGGUAGGCGGAAUUGACGGUGUAGCGGUGAAAUGCUUAGAUAUCGUCAAGAACACCGAUAGUGUAGACAGCCUCCUGGGCCGACACUGACGCUGAGGGCACGAAAGCGUGGGGAGCAAACAGG
rnacentral:rRNA from 1 species